CUUAGGUUUUCAGCUGCCCGUGUUUUUCUUCCUUUUUGUUCUUCCCUCGGUGCAAAAAAUAUUUUGGUUUCUUCUAUGACAUUUCUUAUUCUGUAUAAUUGGCGUCAGACACAGGUGCCAGGGAACGUGGCUGUGUCUGCUUUGGACGGUCCUGAUUUCUUUUGGCUCUUUAGAAGUACAAAAACUACCAGCUAGCUAUUUGCUGGCUUUAGAGGGCUGAAACCUGAUCAGAGAAAGUCUAGAGGCAACAGCACCCCAUGAGGAGUGGCACGUCUAUCACGCAGAUUCUGGUUUCCACUACCAUUCUCUACCAAGAGGAACCAGGAUGAAUUAGAGAAGUGGCUGAUUUUAGCACUGAGGAAGUAUACACAAGAUGAACCUGGAACAUCUUCUAGUACCAGAAAUUUGGGAAGCGCUCAAAACAAAAACAAAGACAAAAACAAGCCAUAAUCAUUGGGGUUUGUCAAAAGGAUCAAGAGCCAACUGAAAGAGUUCCUGAUGUCCAAAGCGGAAAACGAUUUGAGCAACAAGCAAUAGAAAAUAUUGGAUUAUAAUGUAGGUAUAAAAUAAAUAGCUACGAGUCCAUAGCAAUGUAAGUAAGAGAUCAAAUAAGUAAAUGAGGGAGAAGAGCCAAAUCUAUGGAGAAGAGAUCCAAAUAAUUUCCAUAGAUACUUCACUCUCAUAGAGGUGGAGCGUAACUCUCCUUUUCUUAAGUGUGGCUGUGCAGAGUGCCUUCUUUCCAAGAGCACACGGGAAGAAAACAAGAGUAAUUUUGAGUGGAGACACCUGAGAAAUACUAAAUCAGCCAUGUGUGGAGUUGAACAUCAGCCAGGUAAGGAAGUAGUAAGUCUUGUUGAUAGCGUGUACCCUUAAUGUGACGAGACGACGUCUUACCCCUGUGAUCUUAAUCCCCCGAACCAGUAACCCCAGGGCAAUUAUGAGUAUCAGUGUCAGAUAAAUUCCAUUUGAGGGACAUCUGCAAAGUAGUUGAUCAAUACUCCUCAGAAAGAUCAAGGUCAUCAAAAAUAAGGAGAGGCUGAGAAUCUGUCAUAGCCGAGAGGAUGCUAAGAAGACAUGACAAUUAUGUUUAAAGUAAUAUUCUGGGUGAGAUCCUGGAACAGAAAAAGAACAUUAGGUGAAA